rnacentral:misc_RNA from 1 species
UCCGGUUUGUCACCGGCAGUCAACCUAGAGUGCCCACCCGAAGUGCUGGCAACUAAGUUCAAGGGUUGCGCUCGUUGCGGGACUUAACCCAACAUCUCACGACACGAGCUGACGACAACCAUGCACCACCUGUCUCCUCUGCCCCGAAGGGAAGGACUAUCUCUAGUCCGGUCAGAGGGAUGUCAAGACCUGGUAAGGUUCUUCGCGUUGCUUCGAAUUAAACCACAUACUCCACUGCUUGUGCGGGUCCCCGUCAAUUCCUUUGAGUUUCAGUCUUGCGACCGUACUCCCCAGGCGGAGUGCUUAAUGUGUUAACUUCGGCACCGAGGGCAUGAUACCCCCAACACCUAGCACUCAUCGUUUACGGCGUGGACUAC